rnacentral:tRNA from 1 species
GGGGUUGGGGCUCAGCGGUAGAGCACUCGCCUAGCAUGUGUGAGGCCCUGGGUUCGAUCCUCAGCACCA